rnacentral:lncRNA from 1 species
GUGUCCAGUAAGUCUGCUGGAUAUGGAAGGCUGGAAUGGUGCCUGGAAGGAGAUGAACGAACCACGUGGAUGCCCUCAAGAUGUGUACGACCAUGGAACGGGAGACUGGAGGGACCCAUGGAUCCAACCAUGGAUGGGGUUACCCCUGUAUGAGCCAGUUGAAUCUGAAUGCGAGGAUGGAAUGAGGACCGACCAGAGUCACAAUGCUUAAUGGACCAAUGCUUUCUGACUGAGCUCCUCUCUACCCUGAAUACAAGAGACCCUAAUAGUUAGGCAGGAAUAUCAUCGCCCCUAUUCAGCAUGAAGAAGUUACAGAAAAUGGACCUUCAUCCUUCUGCAACUCCUAGGAUUAAGGGUCCUCUUGUAAAAGGGAAAGGGGAGAUAUGUGCGAAACAUUCAAACCAGAGCGACUCCAUUUUGAAUAAGGGCUAAGAAAAAUGAAGCUGGAGCACUGAGCAGCAAUUAAGGGCUGCACAGCCUGCAAUUGCCUUGCUCAGUUAAAAGAGGCCACAUUUUAUGCUAGUAAUAAUGAUAGCUAGUAAUAAUGAUAGUAAUAAUGAUACCUUCUCCUUUACAAAAAAGAGAAGGGGAGCAUGUUGGGAAAAAGCUGAGUGUUGGGAAAAAAGCUGAGGCAGGGCUUGCAUGUCUGACAUAAUGUCCUCUGGAAUGUGUCUAGACUUGCUGGCUCCUUGCUUCUAGCCCUCCCAGGCUCCUAGAUCAAUUGUAUGCCCAUUAUCUCAAGUAGCAGAACAUGUUCCAUAUAAAUGCUAAACUGUCACAGCUGUAGAUCAUGUGCCUGCCCUUUUGACCCCCACAUUCUCAUCAGCUGUUUCUUUGUUGGAUUACCAAUAAAUAGCAUGGCUCCCAGAGCUCGGGGCCUUUGCAGCCUCCACAAUUGCGAUGGCCCCCUGGUCCCACUUUCUCUCUCAAACUGUCUUUUUCUCAAUCCUUUGACUCCACCGGACUUCGUCGCCCCCAUGACCUGGUGUUGGGUGUGAUCACCCCAACAAACAGGAGCUGGGUAAAAUGAGGCUGAAACCUACUGGGCUGCAUUCCCAGAUGGUUAAGGCAUUCUAAGUCACAGGAUGAGAUACGAGGUCAGCACAAAAUACAGGUCAUAAAGACUUUGCUCAUAAAACAAGUUGCAGUAAAGGAGCUGGCCCAAACAUACCAAAACCAGCUGACCAGAGGUCACUCUGGUUGUCCUCACUGCUAUACUCUCACCAGCACCAUGACAAUUUACAAAUGCCAUGGUGAUGUCAGGACAUUACCCCACAUGGUCUAAAAAGGGGAAUCAGGAAUAACCCAAGCUUUGAUGAGCAUAUCAUCAAGAAAUGACCAUAAAAAUGGGCAACCAGCAGCUCUCAGGGCUGCUCUGUCUGUGGAGUAGCCAUUCUUUUAUUCCUUUACUUUCUUAAUAAACUUGCUUUCACUUUGCACUGUGGACUCGCUCUGAAUUAUUUUGUGUGCAAGAUCCAAGAACCCUCUCUUGGGGUCUGGAUUGGGACCUUUGUCCUGUAACAUAUUUCUGGCAGCCCAUAGGGGACUAUAGUGCAGAAACCCUGACCCAAUGGCUACCUUUGGGUAAGUGUUGGUGUCCUGUAACAUAUUUCUGGCGAACCACAGAAGGGAUGAUACU